rnacentral:rRNA from 1 species
GUGGAUUAGAUACCCUAGUAGUCCACGCCCUAAACGAUGUCAACUAGGUGUUGGGUGGGUAAAACCAUUUAGUACCGUAGCUAACGCGUGAAGUUGACCGCCUGGGGAGUACGGCCGCAAGGUUAAAACUCAAAGGAAUUGACGGGGACCCGCACAAGCGGUGGAUGAUGUGGAUUAAUUCGAUGCAACGCGAAAAACCUUACCUACCCUUGACAUGUCCAGAAGCCUUGAGAGAUUGAGGUGUGCCCGAAAGGGAGCUGGAACACAGGUGCUGCAUGGCUGUCGACAGCU